GAUGAACGCUAGCGAUAGGCUUAACACAUGCAAGUCGAGGGGCAGCAUGGUCUUAGCUUGCUAAGACUGAUGGCGACCGGCGCACGGGUGCGUAACGCGUAUGCAACUUGCCUCACAGAGGGGGAUAACCCGUCGAAAGACGGACUAAUACCGCGUACACUUGGGAUAGGGCAUCCUGACCCAAGGAAAUGAAAUUCGCUGUGAGAUAGGCAUGCGUCCCAUUAGCUAGUUGGUGAGGUAACGGCUCACCAAGGCGACGAUGGGUAGGGGAACUGAGAGGUUGAACCCCCACACUGGUACUGAGACACGGACCAGACUCCUACGGGAGGCAGCAGUGAGGAAUAUUGGUCAAUGGGCGAGAGCCUGAACCAGCCAAGUCGCGUGAAGGAUGACUGUCUUAUGGAUUGUAAACUUCUUUUAGACGGGAAUAACAAGAGCCACGUGUGGCUCCCUGCAUGUACCGUAUGAAUAAGCAUCGGCUAACUCCGUG
rnacentral:rRNA from 1 species